GACGAACCGAGCGAACGUUGUUCGGAAUCACUGGGCUUAAAGGGCGCGUAGGCGGGUGGUCAAGUCUGUGGUGAAAUCCUCCGGCUCAACCGGAGAACUGCCAUGGAUACUGGGUGCCUCGAGGGUGAUAGGGGUAUGCGGAACUAUCGGUGGAGCGGUGAAAUGCGUUGAUAUCGAUAGGAACUCCGGUGGCGAAGGCGGCAUACUGGAUCACUUCUGACGCUGAGGCGCGAAAGCCAGGGGAGCGAACGGG
rnacentral:rRNA from 1 species